CUCAACUCUUCUCUCUCAUUCUCUCAGCCGCUGCCUCCGUUGUGAGACUAUUCCCCGAUUUUCCUCUAGCUCGUAGCUUCAUCCUCCAGCGGUCCAUCCCUCUUCCGCUGCUUUGGUAGAUCUGCAAUUCUGCGGCAAUCCCAACUAGUCAACGACGCCAUCGAUCACCUUAAAUCUGGUGGCUACUGCGACCUCUUCUCUCAGAUCGAGGUUCGAGUGCAAGCUAUUCGGGGGCUUCCCUUUUUCUGCAAGGAUACCCUGAACACAUCUCCAAUCUUGUAGACAUUCUUGUGGAACUCCUGGAAGCUGAAUACAUAUAUUUGCAAUCUAGCAGGGACUGAAACGAAACUUAAUCAAGUUGAAACGAUGGCUUUUGAAUCAAGGUUAUGGCUUAUUUGUUCCUUUUAUUUUUCUUUUGAAGUUGGUGUUUUGAUUUAUUGGACAGGAGUUGAAAGAGUUAAUUUUUUUUAUGCGUUUUGAAGAACCCAGUUGUUCCUUUGAUUAGAUGUUAAGGUCAGAAUGAUUAGAUGUUGUUUUAUGCAUGUUUUGAGUUCUUAU